ACUAAUCUCUGCUGUAUAUAUAAUUUAAAGGUGCAAGUCAUUUUUGGUAAGUAUAUGCUGUGUAUGGGUUUUAUUUUCUUGCUUAAUAUCAUGGUGUAGUGUGCAUACCUUUAUUUUUCUUUUAAUAGGCUUGCACUAAAUUGUUUUAUGUGGUUUUCUUUUUGUAUUGUGCUUUAAUAUAACAAGGGGAGACAGGCACUUGUGUG